GCUGCGUUCUCCAUCUCCUUACAGUGCAGCACUAGUGACGGCUGUCUCAUUCUCCUCUCCCCGGUAGUGCAGUGCGCGCCAACAAGCUGCACGGUCCACACCGCGGCCUCAGGAAGGCACCAAAGAAACGGAGACCCAGGAAAGAACAGGAAACCACAAAGGCAGAGAUCAUGUCUUAUCCAUCUUAAUCCGCAUGCUUCAAAUGAUGCUCAUUCGGAAAGGAAACCUCACUCUCAGCAACUAUAUGGCAACGUAUUUAGAUAAAACGCUAGCCUUUUAUCCCAGCACCCAGGAGGCAGAGGCAAGCAAAUCUGUGUGCUUCAAGCAAACCUGGUCUACAAGGUAAGUUCCAAGACAAUUAGAGAUGUUGCACAGAGAAACCCUGCAAGAAAAGAAAGGAAGA